CAUAAAAGUACAAAGUCAUAUAUUUACAGUGUGAGUGGCUUGUAUUUGGCUGACACUUGAGUGCACUUUUAAAAAACAGACCCCAUACGCUGCUGUCUUAUUUUACUUUUCUGUCGAAUGUGGUUUUGACCUUUCAAUUUUGUUUUACAAAGUUGGCUGAUCUUUUCAGAUACCAGGGUCUCUGCAAAAGCCCUUACAAAGACAGAGAAAGAGUCACAUCACAGUCAGCCUGGAAACAAUAGGCGAACAAAGGAAUGCCUUUCUAGAAGACAGUCUCUUUCACCAGCUGUUCAGAGACAUCAGAGGGGAAAUCAGCGCUGGAAAGGGGCUGUCUCCAAGACGGGCUGUCGAAAAGACUGCGCUGUGCUCUUCGCACUGCCGGGACACAGCAGCACUCGGACGCUGAAACAUCACAGUCUUACCUCUGCGAACUGUCGAGCCCAGGGCGGCUUGCCUUUCCAGUUAAAGAACAAACAAGUGCAAGAUACUGGUGCCGCAGGCUGGGAUCAGAUCAGAUCAUGUUCGAGGGGGCUGGUGCCUUGAGUGAAACCUGUCUGGGUCUGGAGUAAUAUUUAAGUUUCUUAAUCUGUUUCAAGCACUUCUUCCUUGCUUAACAUGGUGAGUAAACAAGUUGCCACACAAUUACUUGGAUUUAAAGGCUAUCAAAUUAGAACAGUCUUGACUGUAAAUUAGAAAACGACUAAACUUACUUUUCUUAGCAUUCCACUGACUAAAGAUGAAUUAAACU
rnacentral:lncRNA from 1 species